rnacentral:rRNA from 1 species
UACGGGGGGGGUAAGCGUUGUUCGGAAUUACUGGGCGUAAAGGGCUCGUAGGCGGCCUUCUAAGUCAGACGUGAAAUCCCCCGGCUUAACCUGGGAACUGCGUCUGAUACUGGAGGGCUUGAGUGCGGGAGAGGGAUGUGGAAUUCCAGGUGUAGCGGUGAAAUGCGUAGAUAUCUGGAGGAACACCGGUGGCGAAGGCGGCAUCCUGGACCGACACUGACGCUGAGGCGCGAAAGCUAGGGUAGCAAACGGG